GAUUUUAUAGUUUUUUAAAAAUAUUAGAAUGCAAUUCUAAAGAAAUAAUUUAUAAAUUAUUAAAAUUU
rnacentral:tRNA from 1 species